UGUGAAUUAAUUAUAAAGUCUAGCCUGCCCACUGAGUUUUUAAAGGGCCGCGGUAAUUUGACCGUGCGAAGGUAGCAUAGUCAGUAGUCUUUUAAUUGGAGGCUUGAAUGAAUGGUUGGACGAGAGAUGAGCUGUCUCCUUGGCGGGUUUGAAUUUGACUUUUAAGUGAAAAGGCUUAAAUUUUUUAGGGGGACGAUAAGACCCUAUAAAACUUAAUAUUGGUCCGAUCUGAUUUACGAUUUCAGUGAAGAGUGGUUUUGUCGGAUUAAUAUUUCGUUGGGGAGAUGAAGAUAUAAAUUGUAACUGUCUAUUUAAUUUAAUAAUUAUCGUUAGUGUAUGAUCCUUCUUUGUGGAUUAGGAGAGUAAGUUACUUUAGGGAUAACAGCGUGAUUUUUCUUGAGAGUUCUUAUCGACAGAAGUAGUUGCGACCUCGAUGUUGAAUUAAAAUUUUAGUUAAAUGUAGCCGUUUAACUGGUAGGUCUGUUCGACCUUUAAAAUUUUACAUGAUUUGAGUUCAAACCGGU
rnacentral:rRNA from 1 species